UACGUAGGGGGCAAGCGUUGUCCGGAUUUAUUGGGCGUAAAGAGCGUGUAGGCGGUUAUACAGGUCCGCUGUGAAAACUGGAGGCUUAACCUCCGGACGUCGGUGGAAACCGUAUGACUAGAGUCCGGAAGAGGAGAGUGGAAUUCCUGGUGUAGCGGUGAAAUGCGCAGAUAUCAGGAAGAACACCCGUGGCGAAGGCGGCUCUCUGGGACGGUACUGACGCUGAGACGCGAAAGCGUGGGGAGCGAACAGG
rnacentral:rRNA from 1 species